rnacentral:rRNA from 1 species
AUGGAAGCAGAACUCACAGCAUUAGACACUACCACUGUUGAAGCAGAGUGGCUUCGUGAGCUAUUGAUGGACUUACCUAUGGUUGAAAAACCAAUACCCCCUAUCCUGAUGAACUGUGAUAAUCAAACUGUGAUCGUCAAGAUAAACAGUUCUAAGGACAAUAUGAAGUCCUCAAGGCAUGUGAAGAGGAGAUUAAAAUCUGUGAGGAAACUGAGAAACUCCGGAGUUAUUACGUUGGAUUAUAUCCAAACGUCGAAAAACUUGGCAGAUCCCUUCACAAAGGGUCUAUCACGUAAUGUGAUAGAUAAUGCACCGAUGGAGAUGUGUUUGAGACCCACCGCAGGAGUUGUCCAUAGUGGUAACCCACUCUAUAUGAUCGGAGAUCCCAUGAAGUAG